UAUUUUAAAAGGGGUGCCGUUAUACCUGCCCGGCGCCCGAUAAAAUUCCUCCUUGCUGCUGUGGAUUAAUGGCGAACGGGUGAGUAACACGUGAGUAACCUGCCCCUCACUCUGGGAUAAGCCUGGGAAACUGGGUCUAAUACUGGAUACGACCGAUCUCCGCAUGGAGUGUUGGUGGAAAGUUUUUGUGGUGGGGGAUGGACUCGCGGCCUAUCAGCUUGUUGGUGGGGUAAUGGCCUACCAAGGCGACAACGGGUAGCCGGCCUGAGAGGGCGACCGGCCACACUGGGACUGAGACACGGCCCAAACUCCUACGGGAGGCAGCAGUGGGGAAUAUUGCACAAUGGGCGAAAGCCUGAUGCAGCGACGCCGCGUGAGGGAUGACGGCCUUCGGGUUGUAAACCUCUUUCACCAGGGACGAAGCUAACGUGACGGUCCCUGGAAAAGAACACCGGUUAACUACUUGCCACACCGCGGUAUACAUAGGGUGCGAGCGUUGUCCGGAAUUAUUGGGCGUAAAGAGUUUGAAGGCGUUUUGUCGCGUCUGCUGUGAAAAACGGGGUUUAACUCCGGUUCUGAAUGGGUACGGCAAACUAAAGUGGGCAGGGAAACUGGAAUUCCUGGUGAGCGAGAAUGGGAAAUCUCAGGAGAACCCGAUGGCAAGGAGGUUCUGGGCCAUUCUGA
rnacentral:rRNA from 1 species